UACAGAGGAGCCAAGCGUUGUCCGGAUUGACUGGGCGUAAAGCGCACGCAGGCGGAUGCGCGCGUGGGGUGUGAAAUCUGGCCGCUUAACGGCCAGGCGCCAUCCCAUACGGCGCGUCUGGAGUGAUGCAGAGGUCGAUGGAAUUCCAGGUGUAGCGGUGAAAUGCGUAGAUAUCUGGAGGAACACCGGUGGCGAAGGCGGCAUCUGGACCGACACUGACGCUGAGGCACGAAAGCGUGGGGAGCAAACAGG
rnacentral:rRNA from 1 species